UUUUUUCCUUUGUUUUUGUGCCCACAUUGAGCACACCCUCGCUCACCAUAACCUUGGACUUUUGUUACUCUGCUCUCCUUGCUGAGUUUAUAUUGCAUUAUAGCAUUGUAUCCCUGUUUGGACUGAAGUUUAAGGAAGAAUCACGAUGUUAGACUUAAUUGCAUCUUUCAUGAGUACCAACAUUUACUUGCUACAGAACAAGUGGGACAGAUCUGUUCCACUGCCUUGGCUUUGCAGCACUGCCACAGAUGAUUUCAGCAGAACCUCCAUGGGGCACAGAGCAGAGAGCGCCAGAUACUGAGAGGAGCAGCACUUGAAGAGAUGCACAGCGCAGGACAGGCAGAGACAAGUGUCCAGGAGUAACUGCUCAGCGACCAAAAGCCUCCCUGAAGGAGCACCCAAGGUGAUAUUCUGGGGUACAGACCGUGCUCAGUCAUGCUGGAGCUGUGACAGAAGCCACCGCUGAGCCCUUUGAUCCUGCAGGGAAGAGCAGCAGCGUUAGCAUCGCCUAACAUCCAUGCUGACAGUCGCUGGAUCAUUCACAGCGUGGGAAUGAGUAACUCGGGAGGGAGGAGAACUGUGCUGAGAUCCUCAGCUCUCUGCCCACUCUUUGGAGGAAGGUCUUGUUCAACGCUUUGCUUUUCCAAAGCACGUGUAUCCUUGGUGUUUCUGAAUGUCAGAAUGUCAAUUCUUGGGACAAGCAGGCUGUGCUGUGCAGGGGGAGGUGCACUGUGUGAGGCGUAGGGCUAAGCUCACAGCCAGGUGCCUCACAUGCAAAAGGAAGAGGCAUGGGAAGCAUCCUGUCCCCGAAGGGUUGCUGUCCAAAUUUCCCAUUACAAAAUGAUGGUGUAACAAAAUCUAUGAGAAGAUUGGAAUACUGAGCAGUGUGCAGUCCAGCAGAGGGUCUGAAAUGCAGCAAGGGAUGCCAGUGGUGGGCAGCCCUGAAUCUCACUGUGUUCAGGAGCACUAAGUGCCCUGUACUGAGCCGAAGACCCCACUGCCACCAGCACCCACAUGUAUUUCCAUUUAGUUCUGUUUUCUAAGGCUACCAGGUGCCAACCUGUCCCUGCCACAGCAGACAGCAGCGGAUGCCCAGGGCAGCCUUUGAGCAGCAUGGACUUGCUGGCGUCUCAGCACAAUUAUGAAGUCUCCAUCUCCAGAAGGCAACAAUAUCCUCUUGUGCUGCUUCCUUGUUUUUUUGUUGCUGCAGCCUUUUGGGUUUCAUUGAAAUGCUGCCACGACUGGCACUGAGUUUCUCAGACACUGUGUAGACACCCAGAGGAUGAACCCAUGGUAAUCAUUUUAUUAAUAAUUAUAUCCAGGCUUAAAGCCUUUAAGAUAAAGCAAGAAAUGAAGCACGUGGACUCCAAGAGCCACAGAACUGAGCUGGUGGGAAAGCAAAGCAGGCAGUGUGGUUUCCUGGAAGGAAAGCCGUGCUGCUCUACAGCUGCUGCAGGAAUAGUGCUGCUACAGCUCUGUGUCUCCUGGGCAAGAGCAAAAGAAGUUGCACACGUAGUUUGGUCUUAAGAGCCCAGCUUCCAGCUGUAAGUAAAUUCCUGCUGCGUUUUGCUGCUGCCUGCUUUUGGGUGCUGUCUAAGCCCCGUUGUGCUCAGUAGUUGUUUUCACCACUUUCUUAAGGAAAAGAUGGUUGGUCUGAGGGCAAAGCACCUGUCACAAAAAUCAGGCUCAUAACGCUGCUGCCAGGUGGAGGGUUUGGGACUUAAAGUUCUGUGGGCCUUUUGUAGCAAAGCUCUGAUCUGCUUGCAGUGGGGCAUGGGCUGAGGGAGGAGCUGAAAGCACAGCGAUGGAGGAUCCUCAGAAAGAAUGCACAUUUCUAACAACGUGUUUGCUUUAACAAAGGUUUAUUGAUUACAGCACUUUAGGUUUCGUUUCUCUUUAAGCUCCCAAAACUAGGGCACACCACAGUACAGCAGGUUAUUACCUCCUCCCUGCGGAAGGGAUCAGCUUUGUUAGGCAACAUCCGAACUGAUGGCAUCGCAGCAAAGCUCAGCAAGCAAUGUGGUUUGGGGCUGCCCUGUUUUGCCAUGAGCCCCCUGUGUGCUUCUGGCCCUCUGUUGUCCUCAUCCCUGCAUGCAGUGCCUCUGACACCACUAGUAUUGGUUGUAAUGGCACUUGGCUGAUGCCUCUGUGAUUUUCUUUUUAUCAUAACUAUAUCCAUUGUUUGUUUAUUUGUUUUUUUUAAGUCUAUCACUGCAGCCAAAGGAUUGGAUUGUUGUAAAGGAUUGUAGCAGCUGAGGUAAGAGCUUGGUGCUUUCAUUGCUUAGACCCAGCCACGCCAUCGGCAUCACCUCUGCUUGGUUUCUGAUGUGGAAGCAGAGAUCUGGGGAGGUAGCAAGGACUGUGAAUGAACACAGAUUGCAGAACACACCAAGGUAGUUUCCUCUCUCAAACUCCCCUUGUCUCCUGAUCCUACUGCUGAGCCCCAUGCUUACCCUGAGUUGGAGAUUGCAGGACAUAAAUAACAGAUUUAGUAUCCAAUUAUACAGCUCUGGGCUCAAUGAAUCCCUGAGUAAGCCUCUAAGCAUUAUUUUUUUAUAUAAAUAUAUUUUGAUUACUUCACUUCUCACUGUCCUUCAUGAAAUGUCAUUUGUUUUACCUGCAGAGCAAACAGACUCCAGACUGAGAACACCCACUGUGGGACAGUGUUACUCCAUAGGACAACCUAUGGGUUCCAGGUCUCAUCAGGUCCCCACGAUCCUCAUCACCAAGCCAACAGCAUCAUGAAACAGGACAGAUUUGUGCUUCAAAACACAAGCCCUGGCUUCCUGGUUGUUGGAAGGCUUUCAAACCAUUUGUGUUGGAGGGUCUUCUGCCUGGUAUUGACCACUACUUUGUUCUCGUUGCAGAUCUGUUGGACACGCUGAAGAAUAUUUUGUAGUAGAUGUAGACAUUGACAAUCCUGAGAAGGAUGCCCAGGAGGUAGCUGAGGGCUCUGAGGAGGGCUGCAGCCCCGCUGGAGAGGGGGAGCAACCAGACAGCGGGGCUGCAGGAUGGAGAAGUGCUGCUGGCCUUCAGGACAUCAUCAACCUGCAGCAGGAUGCACUCGGCAGCAACCAGCAGCCAGAUGGCCCUGGAGGUCAGCCUGGCAUUUCUCACUGUCCGCAGGCUGCGGGACUCCGUGGGGAAGAAGGUGAUGAGGUAUGCCUCCAUGGCCACGCAGCUGAGCAGCAGGGCGCUGAUGUGUGUGUUGGCCACCAGGAGGUUCUGCAGCAGUGCUGGUGUGAAUGCUGUGCGUGGGACAGCAACGCUGGAGGUCCACAGGAACAGCUCAGCAACAGCACUCACAGAAAUGAGGAGGUCUGCUUUUGCUAGGCUGGAGAUGAAAACUGCAGUGGAUUUGGAGGAAACUCUGGAGGACUGCAGGAUGAGCAUCACGUACCCACUGCCCAGCACACCCAGCAGGGUGCUGAUGGCGUUGGAAGAUGACAGGACGAGGUACUGGAUGUACUUAAGCACCAGGUAUCUUCUGAAAUCCUUCAUGUGGUCUCUCUCCCUGGAAAUGCCAGCUAGGGAAGAACACCUGGAAUGCAUAUAAAGAAGGUGGUUACGUGUAAGACUGGUGGGAUACAUUCCAGACAAAUGUCACGUGCUUGUACAGACUCCGUGCUCACUGCAGCACUGCUGUGGCGUUGGUUGUUACCCAGAAUUGCAGUCAUUCAGUACGUGAAAUCCUCAAAGUGCAUCAAUUAUGAAAGAAAUGGCCUGCAAACCCAGGGGAUCCUAGCAUCUUCUCGUAAUUAAUGCAAGGAACUGUAAUGACUCCAGGCAAAUACUGGGAAACCAAGGUCAGAAUAGUGCUACUUCCAUUAUGCAAGUUGUUGUAUUUUUUUCUAGCUUGCCAUAGUGAGCCAACAGGCUGGCAGUGAAGUUCAUUGCCUUUGAAACUGGAUGAAGCAAUUUCAGAGAUAUUCAUGGUUAUCACUGAGAAGUGCUUAAAGACAAAUGGGAAAAGCUCCAGAAUACUUGGAGAAGAGAAGCAGGCCCUGCCCUGAGGGAGCAACAAGAGGGGCUCCUUCCCAGCAAACUGCUGAAGUAACCAAACGUCAUCUGAGUGAUGGAGUGGAGACAAGGAAACACAAGGGGGAUUUCUCACAGGUGAAUCAUACUGAGUUGGCUGAGCUCCUUCCUCUAGCAGGGUGAUAGAGCCUGGGGGGAGAAAGCAGUCAGCAAGAGUCUUCUAUUUGUGUAUCUAUAUGAAAUUCAAGAUAUAUUCAUCUUGGAUUUUGUUAAGACUUCCAACAUUGUUUAUGAGGCAUCAUACAAAGGAGUAAGCCAGGCAGUGCAGGCUAGGAAGAGCUACAAUUAAGUCAUGCCUAGAGGGGUGGAAAAAUGAGAGGCUAAUUAUCAGAAAUUGUAGGAAUGAUGUAUCAGAGGAGGAUCUGCAGAAUAAGGAGCAGAGCUCACGCUUAUUGAGUUAGCUUAUGAAGUCUGCUGUAACACAUGAGCAAGAAUGCUGUAACCAUUUGUGAGGCCAGCAGUUUGAGAAAGGUAUCGACUGCUGGCAGUGUUUGAUGUGGAUUGAAGGUGAUGAAAGAAAGCUAAAAUGUGAUUCAGAGUGGAAGGAGUCAGCAUUGCACAGCCUGGAUUAGAAGAGAUGCUCAUUUGUCAAACUGCCCUGAUGUCAAUUAAGAGCACAGACGAAGGAAAUGGCAUUGCUGCUCCCCCUGGCAGGAGCGCCCUGGGGCUUGUACUGCAUGCAAGGCUUUUCCUGCAGUUACUCAGCAGGACUGGGUGGCUGCUGUGGUUCCUGCCUGAUUUUUGUUUGCAUGAGACAAUGCCAAAGUGAUAAUUCUGUGCAAUUCCUGAGAAAGGCACUACACGAGCCAGCAUCUGUAAGGAUGGGAUUCCUGUUGCUUGUUGAGGCUCAGUUGCUCAUCCAGGUUGACUCAUCCAAGAUCCAUGAGCACCUUUUCUCUUCUUUUAUGUACCUGAGCCAACCUGGGGGAAUCCUUUGCUGAAGAGGUAGGAAAAACUCAGCUGUACUGGGGCUGAAUUGGGAUCGGUUCAUCUUACCCUCGUUUUCCACAUUUAACUAGAAAAAAAAUCUGUGUUUUCUGUCAAAAGCAACAUUUCUCUGUAGUUCAGGGCUCUUUCCAUUGACACAAGGGUCUCUGCCAGCUCAGUCCUUUACAGUCCACUAACCUGCCAAGAUGUGGCAUUGCCUCACUGCUGAUGGAAGGUGAAGAGGAGGGUUGGUCACUGAGCGUUGGUUUGACCACUUGGAUAAAAAGCAUUGCUGGAAUGAGGAUCUGCUGUUGGAACAAGCCCUCCUAGCCUGCAGUGUGGAAGCUUGUCCUUCUGGCUAGUGGUGGAGGAAAACCAAACUGUGUUACAUGUAGCUGAGCUCUGCUUUGUUCUGUUACUCAAGGAAGUUCCUCCUUGUUGGGCUGGCUGCUGGAAUCAUUAAGGUUGGGAAAGACCUCUAAGAUCAUCAGGUACGUUAAGGAUGCUUUUUUGACCAUAAAUUCUUGCGUGAUGAAAAGUCCCUGCGACCUGGCUGCUGCGUGCAGGAGAUCAGUGUGUUUGGCCAGAGGUCUUAGGCUGAAUUCAAGGCCGUGGUUCCCAGAAGGAAGGCAGCAAACAAAUCAGAACUGGUUUGGGCGGUUCAAUGAAGUGUGGGAAGUGUGCAGCUCCUUGACCUGGGGUUUUACAUCUCCUCUGGAGAAUGUGGAGAUAAACAUUAACUGGAAAAUAAACUGAACCAGAAGGAAGGCUUGUCAUCAAACCAGGCUGCUUCGAUCUGUCUGUCCAUUCAGGAAUUUCCUCCAUCUUUUUUUUUUUUUUUUUCCCAUGUGAGUUUGAAGGAAAGUGACCCCCAGACUGGAUUUACAGCAGAUCUUCAUCACGGCCAGGUGAAGCAUUUCAACACUGAGCUCCUGAGCACUGGGUUCUGUCCUUCACCCUGGGAUCCGGUGAUGAGCCACGGCCCCUCCCAAUGAUGGGUGCUGCCCAGGGAUGCUGAGCAGCCGGUGCAGCCGGGGGCUGUGCUCAGAAGCAGCCAGACCAGAUGCUCAGGAGUGUUUUUCACAUCUCCUCUUCCUGAAAGCUUUACAUAAUGCUGCGUUCCACAUAGGGUUGAAAUGGGCUUUGGAAAAGAGUUGCGGUUUCCUAAAGGGUGAUGCCUUCCCACUGUCCAUCUGAGAUGUGCCCAAGGUAUCCCUCCUGCCCUGGAAGAUGGGGCCCUUGUGGUUGCCUCUGUCUGCUCCUUACGUGCUGCGAUUUGGUGCUUUCAGCUCCCACCCAGAAUGCAGCAGAACGAGGUUCCGUUUCCUCCCUUGCCUUGGGCAUUGGGGUGUUUAUCUCUCAGCAGCUGGCUG